rnacentral:rRNA from 1 species
GAUGAACGCUGGCGGCGUGCCUAAUACAUGCAAGUCGAGCGAACAGACGAGGAGCUUGCUCCUCUGACGUUAGCGGCGGACGGGUGAGUAACACGUGGAUAACCUACCUAUAAGACUGGGAUAACUUCGGGAAACCGGAGCUAAUACCGGAUAAUAUAUUGAACCGCAUGGUUCAAUAGUGAAAGACGGUUUUGCUGUCACUUAUAGAUGGAUCCGCGCCGCAUUAGCUAGUUGGUAAGGUAACGGCUUACCAAGGCGACGAUGCGUAGCCGACCUGAGAGGGGGUUCGGCCACACUGGAACUGAGACGCGGUCCAGACUCCUACGGGAGGCAGCAGUAGGGAAUCUUCCGCAAUGGGCGAAAGCCUGACGGAGCAACGCCGCGUGAGUGAUGAAGGUCUGCGGAUCGUAAAACUCUGUUAUUAGGGAAGAACAAAUGUGUAAGUAACUAUGCACGUCUUGACGGUACCUAAUCAGAAAGCCACGGCUAACUACGU